GGGGAUAUAGCUCAGCUGGGAGAGCGCGGCGUUCGCAAUGCCGAGGUCGAGGGUUCGAAUCCCUCUAUCUCCACCA
rnacentral:tRNA from 1 species